GACUCAGUGGGGCAAAGAAUAAAGAUCACUGACUCUGCUCAGUGCAAAUCUCAUUUGUUUAUAUGAUGUCUCAUAUCUUUUAAUUAUUCUGAAAAUGACUUAUUGAUUUUAAAAUGAUGAACGUAGCUCCUCAAACUUCACGGUUCGGAUGAUUUUUCUGCCUGUUCUUCAUCUUUCCUUUCUCCUUCCCUCCUGUUUCAAUCUUUCUCCGUUUCUCACUUUUUGUUUUUGUCACGGGCAUCUCACUCUUAUUCUCUUCCUCCGAGACACGAACACAGAAACACUUCCUGUCGAGGCUCGGUUAGCUUGUCAGAGACCACGACACAAAAGCACAGCCAGAGGUAACUAUGAGUGUGUGUGUGUGUGUGUGUGUGUUUGUUAGUUAGUUAGUUAGUGUGUGAAAAUUCUGGCAUUUUUUCCAGUCCCUUUGUUUCACUUCUGUUACUCAUAGUUUUAGUCUUAUAUAAACACACACACACACACACACACACACACACAAACAAAUUUUCCUCCUUAAGUUUCACUUCACCUGUUCCCGUCGCUACUGGCAACCACGGAUGCUUUGUUCGUUUGGUGCAACCCAAUCCUUUGAGACAAAGAGCGGCUCUGUGGGAUAUUUUACACAAAAACACACACACACACACACACACACACACACAGCGAGCCAAGGUAACUCUGUGCUGGCUGGACAAGCAGCUCGGGACAAUAACUCAGUUUGUGUGGAGUCUUUAACAGCCAGCAGACGUCCAGACGCCUGCAGGACACAAACAGGCCUGUCUGCUCGGUUCUUUACAUCAUUUGGGUUUUUACUGGCUGAGAACAAAAACAAAGAUUCUUACAAACAAGACAAAUUUCUGCUCGAACCACUAAAACUACAGUCUUCACCGAUGCACCUCCAGAAAGCUGGAGGACUCGAAAGAGUCAGAUUAAAAACAAAAUAGCAUAAAUCGUUGCUGAAGAGGCCGAGGUAUCCUGACGUUUAUGGGUCAAGCUUCAAAAUGACCGGAUCCUACACUUCCUAUAUUGCAACUCGAUUGCAUCUUUUAUUAGUGUGAGAAGUCCUCACCACGAAGAGGAAGCAGGCUUUAACGUUAACAUGACGUCCUGACCUGAAAAGGCUUUCUGAGCUACAUCAGCUCUCACCUGGAGAGUAACUAGAUGUGGAGUUCAGAUGAGAUCAUCAGCAACAGCAUGGAGGUGGACGGAAAACCAACAGGACAAGAUGACAGGUGACAGGGUGACGUUGUAACAUCUGUCCAGGGACUGCGGAUGAAUAAUGGCCUCUUGGCUAACUCCGGCACAUUCACAGCAAAGUUUACUAACCUGCACUGUUCCAAUAAAUAAAUAAAAUGUCAA